AUACGGAGGAUCCGAGCGUUAUCCGGAUUUAUUGGGCUUAAAGGGUGCGCAGGCGGCCAUUUAAGUCAGCGGUUAAAUCGUGGGGCUCAACCCCAUUCUGCCGUUGAUACUGGGUGGCUUGAUUGCGGUCGAGGUUGGCGGAAUUCGUUGUGUAGCGGUGAAAUGCAUAGAUAUGACGAAGAACCCCGAUUGCGUAGGCAGCUGACCAGACCGCAAAUGACGCUCAUGCACGAAAGUGCGGGGAUCGAACAGGAUUAGAUACCCUGGUAGUCCGCACAGUAAACGAUGAAUACUUGUUUUCGGCGAUAUAAUGUCGGAGGCAAAGCGAAAGCGAUAAGUAUUCCACCUGGGGAGUACGCCGGCAACGGUGAAACUCAAAUGAAUUGACGGGG
rnacentral:rRNA from 1 species